GAAAGCAUGGGGAGUGAACAGGAUUAGAUACCCUGGUAGUCCAUGCCGUAAACGAUGAGUGUCCGCCCUUGGUCUACGCGGAUCAGGGGCCCAGCUAACGCGUGAAACACUC
rnacentral:rRNA from 1 species